AUAGCGUAUAUUAAAGUUGUUGCAGUUAAAAAGCUCGUAGUUGAACUUCAGACCUGGUUGGGCGGUCUGCUUAACGGCAUGUACUGUCUGACUGGGUCUUACCUCUUGGUGAGCCGGCGUGCCCUUUAUUGGUUGUGCGUUGGGGAACCAGGACCUUUACCUUGAGAAAAUUAGAGUGUUCAAAGCAGGCCUAUGCCCGAAUACAUUAGCAUGGAAUAAUAAAAUAGGACGUGCGGUUCUAUUUUGUUGGUUUCUAGAGUCGCCGUAAUGAUUAAUAGGGAUAGUUGGGGGCAUUGGUAUUGAGUCGCUAGAGGUGAAAUUCUUGGAUUGACUCAAGACCAACUAUUG
rnacentral:rRNA from 1 species